rnacentral:snRNA from 1 species
GUAUUCUACACGGAAUACAUAUACUAAAAUUGGAACGAUACAGAGAAAAUUAGCAUGACCAUUGCGCAAGGAUGACACGCAAAAUCGUGAAGCGUUCCACAUAUUU